GAUGAACGCUGGCGGCGUGCUUAACACAUGCAAGUCGAACGGAAAGGCCAGUGCUUGCCCUGGUACUCGAGUGGCGAACGGGUGAGUAACACGUGGGUGAUCUGCCCUGUACUUCGGGAUAAGCUUGGGAAACUGGGUCUAAUACCGGAUAGGACAACUUUUUGGAUAUUGUUGUGGAAAGCUUUUGCGGUAUGGGAUGAGCUCGCGGCCUAUCAGCUUGUUGGUGGGGUAAUGGCCUACCAAGGCGUCGACGGGUAGCCGGCCUGAGAGGGUGUACGGCCACAUUGGGACUGAGAUACGGCCCAGACUCCUACGGGAGGCAGCAGUGGGGAAUAUUGCACAAUGGGCGCAAGCCUGAUGCAGCGACGCCGCGUGGGGGAUGAAGGCCUUCGGGUUGUAAACUCCUUUCGCUAGGGACAAAGCUUUUUUGUGACGGUACCUGGAGAAGAAGCACCGGCUAACUACGUG
rnacentral:rRNA from 1 species